rnacentral:miRNA from 1 species
CCUUCCAAAGUUUGCAAAUUUUGUAUACUUUUGUAUUGCAAUUUUCGCAUGCAAUACAAAAGUAUACAAAAUUUGCAGACUUUGCAA